UUUUCUGUAUUUGAGAGUAGAUGUUAUAUAGAGUGAGGUGGAGUGAUUGUAUUUAUAUUUUGGAAGAAUGUAAAAGAUGUAAUUGAAUGUAUUAAGUCAAAUGAAUGUAAUAGAUAGCUCUUCUCUCUUUAUGUACUUGUAUAUGUUUUAUACUUGUAUCUUGCUCUCGUCUUGUUGCACUGGUGGUGCUUUUGAUCAUGUAUUUAUGAAUUGAUUCCUGGGUAAAUUCUUAUACAUGAUCUGUUGGUUAGCCUUGGGCGGACGGGGUAGGUCCUGUCCGUUCGGCGUCUGUUCGACGCGCCCGGGCCGGACCAAAUUGGUAGCGAUCUCGGGGCGUGA
rnacentral:lncRNA from 1 species